CCUCUCAGGCAGGGGUGGGGACCGGGCCUGGGGGGCGCCGAUGUCCUUCCGACCGGGCGGCAGCAGCCUCUCAUCUCCUGCCAGUGCCCGGGGCCGAAGGUACGGGGCACUGGCAGGUGUGCGGGGGCGGGGUCCCAGGGCUGUGGCUCAACCCUCCCUCCCUCCCUCCCCGCCUCCGCGGCGCCGACCCCGGCCCGCCCCCUGCCCAAGCAGCUCUGUCUCGGGGUGGCCGCGGAGCCGUCGCCUCCUCACAAAGCUGCCUUUGUGUCCAGCGGCCUCCGCGGGACCCGCUGACGUCAGCCUCCGUGACCAGCCAGACAGGGCCGAACGCGGGCGGCGGCGCCCCCUGGCGGCCGGAGGCGGAGGCGUUAACCCCGGAGCCCCACCCUGUGGAGGCCGGCUUUUCCCCCAGCCCGCCCCGACACGUUCAGGCCGCGGCUGUCCCUGCUGCCCAUAGGAGAAGGUCUAGGCGCCUCGAUGGCACUCAGGGCCCGCCCCACAAGCAUCACCAGCCUUGUCAUCUGCAGUUCCCUUCCCCAGCAACGCGCGGGCCCUUCCCACAGCCUCAGGGAGCUUUCCAUCUUCAAUGAUCUGCAGCCCCCCAGGCCCAGCCUGUGGCAACCAUCACAUGAGACGUGCCGGACACCCCUCCUGCUCCCGGUGUGGAAGAGCACCUUACAACAGUUUCCUUAGAAGCCAGUCCAGCUGCCCGAGACCCAAAGCUGCAGAGUGCUGGGAAGGCGGGGAUACACGGCCCCCACAUGUAUGCUGCCUAGUCCAGGUGGGAGAAAUGAAGCCCAGAGCUUCGGGCUCCAGGACGGCCCGGAAAGCUGAGUCAGGGCCCUGCCCCAGGUUGAGGACUGAGGUUAAGACCACCAUCACCUUGGCACACCUUAGCCGGGGCCUCUGCCCCUGGGAGAGAAUACCCAUCAGUUCUCGGUAUUUUUUUUCUUUCUACAUUUUAUUAUUUCAAACCAGGUGAACAAUUCCAUAAAACAUGUGAAAAAAGCAAGGAAGUGUUCAACGCUGAAGGCCCCGGGCCUGGGACAAGGGAAUGAGGGGUGUGGCCCCCCAGCAGGCAGCGGCGGUUCCUAGGUUAGCGCUAGGGAGCUACAUUUUAGGUUAAUGGAGCCUGGGCCCAGGGCCGCUGGGGCAGGGCCCUCAGUGACGUUGGCAGUUGUCUGGAACAGCCCUUGGAACCCAAUUCUGUGGAGGGCAGGGCAGGGUUGCGGCUCGCACAGGGGCGGCCAGCAGAGGGAUGGGUGUAAACACGCAGACACACUCAAGGCACGGAGUCACUUGAAAGGGGGCUGGAGGGGUUGCUGGUCAGGAUCUGACAGUUUUAAAUAGUUUUUCUCUAAAAAGUUUUCUAGAUUUGCAGUUUUUUUUUUUUUUUCCUUUACUUUCAUAUUUUUUUUAAAAAGCUACGAGAAUGAGUACGUGGACUGUGGUCUCCAGGAAUGGUGGUGUCUCACGCUUCUUGUGCUUUUUCCUUUGGGGCCUCCGAGCGGCUGGGGGGUAGGAGACUGGGCAGGAGGCUCCCUGUAAACAUUUGGACUUGGGCUGGGGCAGGGGCUGGUGUUGGGCAAAGCUGGGGGUCCAGGCUGGAGAAGCAGGCGCCCCUCCGGACAUAGCCUUGGGAGACUCAGCAUGUGCCCCCCUCCCCCCAUCACAGAA